rnacentral:rRNA from 1 species
ACCUGCGGAAGGAUCAUUGUCGUGACCCUGACCAAAAUAGACUGUGAAUGUGUUAUCCAAGUCACCAGGUGAUGGGGUUGCACCUGUCUCCUGGUUUUGGCUACCUCCCCUCCUCUGGUUGGGUGUGGCCACAAAAGAACCCACGGCGCUGUAUGGCGUCAAGGAACACAAAGAUUGCCUUGCUUGUGGCCUCGGACGGCUUGCCGGACGUAGCCUGAGCAGCGAUGCUAUGUUAAUCCACAUGACUCUCGGCAACGGAUAUCUUGGCUCUCGCAUCGAUGAAGAACGUAGCAAAAUGCGAUACCUGGUGUGAAUUGCAGAAUCCCGUGAACCAUCGAGUUUUUGAACGCAAGUUGCGCCCGAGGCCUUCUGGUUGAGGGCACGUCUGCCUGGGCGUCACGCCAAAAGACACUCCCCAACCUUCAUGCUGGUGGAUGUGGUGUUUGGCCCCUCGUGCCGUAGGGUGCGGUGGGCCGAAGUUGGGGCUGCCGGUGGUGCCGGUCACAGCGCAAGGUGGAUGACGCUUGUUGUUCUCGGUGUUGUGAUGCGAACCUGCAUGACCCUAAAGACCCAUGAACCGAGACGAAUGUAGCUCGGACCGCGACCCCAGGUCAGUCGGGAUUACCCGCUGAAUUUAAGCAUAUCAAUAAGCGG